AUAUCCCUGAUAGCAGACUACUCCGAUCCGGAUCCGUUUUACCUCCGGCAGAUCCGCGCUACAGUCAGGUCUGUUUAGUGGAUCUGGUCCGGCUUCACUCCGGGUUCGGGUUAUGAUUGUGACUCACGUUCAGAUCCGUUUUACUGACGGUAAAUCCGCAUAACAGUCCGUCUCAUUUCACGCCUUCCAUAUGACUUCGGCACGGAGUCAGAUACCAGAUGUGAGUUCAGUGUCAGUUCAGUGUCGUUUUGCGGAUCCGGGCCGCAUCGGCGGAGCGGCACAGGAGCGGGAGAAAUUCAAACUCAGCGCGAGGACCAACUGACAUCUGCUGAAUCUGCGCUUCAGGGCUGCUGAGGGCUGGGGACCUGAGAUAAGGUGUAAUCAUUUACCCAUCAAAUCACCUAACAAGCAGGAUUUGGUAUCCGCAAAAUGGUUCGAGGUCCUCAGCCCUCGCCUCCCCCAGCACAGAGGAAAACUACCAAGGGCGGUACUCUCAUUAUAGGAGAUUCAAUUGUUAGACAUUUAAAAGUAUCUAAGAGUAAUGGCACAAUUUCAUGUCUUCCAGAUGCUUGCAUGCUGGUAGUCGGCAAGCGGCUCCCUGGGGCGCAUUGCCAAAGCAGGAACCCCGGCACCAUCGCCCUCCAUGUGGGGAUGAGCUUUCGGGAGCGACCGGCCCCAUUCCACAGAGACAGGCUUCUCUCUGUGAACAUCGAGGCGGUGCUACGCUGAGACUGACUGUCUCUACCCAGUCACACCAGCCAAGUAGGCUGCACUGUAGUGGUGUUAAGUGUCCAAGAAUGCUCUCAUCAGUGGAGGCACAGCUGGCUGCAAAAAACGUCUGUGUCUGCAUGUUUAUAUUAUGUGAAUUAAAAAUGGUUUUAUUAUUAAAAUAAUUGUA